rnacentral:lncRNA from 1 species
GAAUUCGACUUCUUCAAUAAUGUCAAUGCCACUUUCUAAUUUACCCUAAAUCCGAUGUCUCGGUGAAGAGAGCCUACUCUUAAUUACUAGUUUACAAUGUCUUGUCUCCUUGGCAAUUAAUUAUGCAUUACAUUUGCACAGAAGCUUAAAGGUAAUCGGUCCUCCUUUCCCUAUGUCUAGGUAAUAUUGCUCCCGAGAGAAUUUC